GAUCAUUACCAAUUUGUUUGUUAAUCAAACUUACUUUCUUUAACUUCGCACAAUCAUUUUUUAAUGGUUGUGUCGCACCAUUAAUGUAAAGAACGACGAAUUCGUUCUUUUACAACUUUUCCAUUAUUCAACAAAAUUUAUUGUUGUUUUGUCAUUGAAUAUGAAUCGAAUCUAACUUAAAAAAAAUACAGAUAUAAUUCUGUACGGUGGAUCACUCGGCUCGUUAUUCGAUGAAGAGCGCAGCAAAGUGCGAGAAAGCAAUGCGAAUUGCAGGACACAUUGAGCAUGAAUAACUCGAACGCAUCUAGCAGCCAAGAUUUUAUCGAGGCUAAAUUUGCUUCAGUCUUGUUUACAUAACAUCAAAUUCAUUUUAUCUAAAAUGAAUUGCUGGCAAGUUCAAUGAUUUUUUCAUUCAUUUAGCUUGCAAUACAUAUCUCUUACAUACAUCAUCAUUGAUGUAUAUACGUAUAAAACGAAGUUAUACAUAAUACACACAAAAUAUAUAUGUGUAAAUUGUCAUAACAUGAGAAAUCUUUAUCAUAUCCAUGUUAUUGAUUAAAAAACAUAUAUAUGUGUAAUACUUAUUCAUUUCAAGCUGAAGUCAAAUUAGAAGACUUGCUGAACUUAAGCAUAUUAAUAAGCAAAGGAAAAGAAAUCAACUGAGAUUGCCUUAGUAAUGGCGAAUGAACCGGCAAAAGCUCAUUGCUGAAGCGUGUUAAAUUUACUUUUGACAUGCAUUGUAGCAUUUGGGGUGACUAUUGUAUGGUGCCUAUUCGUGUGAGUUCCUUUGAUCAGGGCUUUAACCAUAGAAGGUGCUAGUCCUAUAAUCACGAAUAGUUUUUGUGCUGUACAUUGUACACCUUUCGAGUAGCGUAGUUUGAGAUUGCUACGCCAACGUGGGACGUAAACUUGUUCCAAAGCUAAAUAUUAUAACGAGACCGAUAGCGAACAAGUACCGUGAGGGAAAGUUGAAAAGCACUCUGAAGAGAGAGUUAAAUAGUACGUAAAACCGUACAGAAGAAAACGAAUGGCCGCAUUCAUCAGAUUAUUUUGGAUUCAAUUCGACUCUUUAUGAUGAUUUGACUUGUUAAUUGUGAACUUCAACAGUCCAUUGACAUGUUCUUUUCUAAAGUCGGAUGCAUUUUCAAAAUAUUAACUGAACCUGGAUCUAUAACUUACAGCUAGUUGAAUCAGCCUAUUUUGGUAGCGAAUCUCGUAUUCGUGUUAAAAAUAUGGUUUGCAUAUCAAAUUCGACUUGGCGUUAUAGGUAAAUUGACAUGUUUUUGAUUUCAGUACUUUCUUGUACGGCAUGUUAUGAGCAUUGUUUGUGUUGCAUGAGUAACUAAGACGUAAAAAAUCUUAGUUUUAUUCAUGUUGAUGCUUAAUGUUUUAUGANCUGUCAAUGAAAUCGG
rnacentral:rRNA from 1 species